rnacentral:rRNA from 1 species
UACGAAGGGGGCUAGCGUUGCUCGGAAUGACUGGGCGUAAAGGGCGCGUAGGCGGCGGUCACAGUCAGAUGUGAAAUUCCUGGGCUUAACCUGGGGGCUGCAUUUGAUACGUGGUUGCUUGAGUGGGGAAGAGGGUCGUGGAAUUCCCAGUGUAGAGGUGAAAUUCGUAGAUAUUCGCAAGAACACCAGUGGCGAAGGCGGCUCACUGGCCCGGAACUGACGCUGAGACGCGAAAGCGUGGGGAGCAACAGGG